rnacentral:rRNA from 1 species
UGCGUAGGUGGAUGUGCAAGUCAGUAGUGUAAUUCCGAGGCUUAACUUCGGCGCUACUACUGAUACUACACGUCUUGAGUGCAGGAGAGGUAGAUGGAAUUCCUAGUGUAGCGGUGGAAUGCGUAGAUAUUAGGAGGAACACCAGAGGCGAAGGCGAUCUACUGGACUGUAACUGACACUGAGGCACGAAAGCGUGGGGAGCAAACA